CUCCCCCUCCCCUCUCCGCUCUCGCUCUCCGUGAUUUAUUACUUGCCCUGCUGCUUCUGACAAACUAUUUGUAGGAAAAUGAGAUUUGGUCCGCGCUGGAUGGCUCCUCUGGGAGGCAGGCGUGGGGGUCGGGUGUCGGAGGCCCCGUGCGCCCCCCCACCCCCCACCAGAGCCCACGGCGCUCACGGAGCUCUUUAAGAUAAAUGAGCAAAAUUAAGAGACUCACUGGGGGAAGAAAACACUGGAUGGGAGCGAGCGAGAGCGGAUGGUACUUGGUUUCCUCCCAGAAAUGCAUCCACGUGCGCCCCACUGGGGCCUCCCCCAUCUGCUGCAGACUCCAGGGAACUUCCUCCCCUCAAAGACGAACUUCCAGCCCUGGAGCAUGUUUCUUCCUUUCCUGGGAUGUGGCGCUGAAAAGGGCAGAAACCUCUAGUAAGGCACAAGCAACAGAUUGGGGGUGGAGCAGCAGGUCUCUUUGGAGGUGGCCUGGAAGAAACCGGACAGAGAGGAUGGGAAGGGGAGAAACAGAAGAGUGUGACGAGAUCAUGAAGGAAAGAGGAGGCGUCUACUGAAUGUAAGGUAGAGCCAAAGGCAUCUAUUGAUGACUGAAGAAGAGGCAUGAAUAUGACAAAAACAGGAAGCAUCUGUUUCCACCAGUCACCAGCAAGCGGAGGAUCGUAUAAGGACACCCUUCAGUGUCAGUGUGCUUCAUUAUGCUUUUGGAUGUGUUAGUAAAAAUUCUCCGGAUUUGGAGUACCAGGAUGGAAAACUCUACAAUAUUGUUUUUUUCCAAUACCGAAGGCGUCUCCUCUCCUCAUCCCUGCUCUUUCCCUCCAGUUAAAAAAGAUAAAUAAACACUCUCUGUUGACAAAUGUCUUUUCUCUUUUCUGUAGACUCUGUGAGUUCUCCUUUCAGUUUAUGCUUUUGGAAACAAAAGUCCUUGUCUGUCCUUCAGGUGCGAGUCAGAGCCAGAUUCCUGACUAAAUGGAGGGAUGCAAUGAGAAAUUCAUAAUAAGAAAUUAUUUUGUUGUCAU
rnacentral:lncRNA from 1 species